UACGAAGGGGGCUAGCGUUGCUCGGAAUCACUGGGCGUAAAGGGUGCGUAGGCGGGUCUUUAAGUCAGGGGUGAAAUCCUGGAGCUCAACUCCAGAACUGCCUUUGAUACUGAAGAUCUUGAGUUCGGGAGAGGUGAGUGGAACUGCGAGUGUAGAGGUGAAAUUCGUAGAUAUUCGCAAGAACACCGGUGGCGAAGGCGGCCUGCUGGGCAGUUGCUGACGCUGAGGCGCGACAGCGUGGGGAGCAAACAGG
rnacentral:rRNA from 1 species